rnacentral:rRNA from 1 species
UACGUAGGGGCGAGCGUUGUCCGGAAUGAUUGGGCGUAAAGGGCGCGCAGGCGGCCUGUCAAGUCAGUAGUGGAAGUCCAUUUUUCAAGGAUGGAAGUGCUAUAGAAACUGAUGGGCUUGAGUGCAGGAGAGGUUAACGGAAUUCCCGGUGUAGCGGUGAAAUGCGUAGAGAUCGGUAGGAACACCAGUGGCGAAGGCGGGUAACUGGACUGCAACUGACGCUGAGGCGCGAAAGUGUGGGGAGCAAACAGGAUUAGAUACCCU